rnacentral:rRNA from 1 species
CCUACGGGCGGCAGCAGUGGGGAAUAUUGCACAAUGGGGGAAACCCUGAUGCAGCGACGCCGCGUGAGUGAAGAAGUAAUUCGUUAUGUAAAGCUCUAUCAGCAGGGAAGAAAAUGACGGUACCUGAGUAAGAAGCCCCGGCUAACUACGAGCCAGCAGCCGCGGUAAUACGUAGGGGGCAAGCGUUAUCCGGAUUUACUGGGUGUAAAGGGAGCGUAGACGGGCGUGCAAGUCUGGAGUGAAAGGCGGGGGCUCAACCCCCGGACUGCACUGGAAACUGUACGGCUUGAGUGCAGGAGAGGUAAGUGGAACUCCUAGUGUAGCGGUGAAAUGCGUAGAUAUAAGGAGGAACACCAGUGGCGAAGGCGGCUUACUGGACUGUAACUGACGUUGAGGCUCGAAAGCGUGGGGAGCAAACAGGAUUAGAUACCCUGGUAGUC